rnacentral:rRNA from 1 species
ACGAACGCUGGCGGCGUGCUUAACACCUGCAAGUCGAGCGGUAAGGCCUCUUCGGGGGUACACGAGCGGCGAACGGGUGAGUAACACGUGGGUGACCUGCCCUCAGCUCUGGGAUAAGCCUGGGAAACUGGGUCUAAUACCGGAUAUGACCUUUCCUCGCAUGGGGUUUGGUGGAAAGUUUUUUCGGCUGGGGAUGGGCCCGCGGCCUAUCAGCUUGUUGGUGGGGUGAUGGCCUACCAAGGCGACGACGGGUAGCCGGCCUGAGAGGGCGACCGGCCACACUGGGACUGAGACACGGCCCAGACUCCUACGGGAGGCAGCAGCGGGGAAUAUUGCGCAAUGGGCGGAAGCCUGACGCAGCGACGCCGCGUGGGGGAUGACGGCCUUCGGGUUGUAAACCUCUUUCGACCCCGACGAAUUUGGACGGUAGGGGUAGAAGAAGCACCGGCCAACUACGUG